UCUCCUUUACCUGGCCACAAGCAUGCUCGUACCUCAUCCGUGGUUAACAGAAUGAAGUCUUUUCCUGUAUCAUCUUUCUCAGGUUCUACACUCCAGGGAAUCCUAGAAAGAACGUCGGCAUUGAUGUUUUGUCUUCCAGGUUUGUAACAAACCUCAAAGUUGAAUUCUGAUAACUGAGCAACCCAGCGCUGCUCCACUGCUCCAAGAUUGGCUGUUUCCAGGUAUCGGAGGGGAUUGUGGUCAGUGACUACUUGAAACUUUGCAAACAUCAGAACCCUUCAGACCACGGCUCGCAUAGGCGACGACACGCUCUAUACCCCCCUGCUUUUGGCUGAGGAUCGCUCCAAGUCCAUUGCGACUCCCAUCCGUCGUCAGUAUGAACGGACACUGGAAAUCAGGAGCAUGCAAGGGCUUUGCCAGCUGUGCAAACCUCGGGACAAAACGGCGGUAGUAACUCAUAAAUCCCAACAGCUGUCUGACUUCUCUAACAUUUGUUGGCUUAGGCCAUGCAUCCAAGCACUGUACUUUGUCCAUAUCCACUUGAAUUCCCUUCACUGAAAUUAUGUGUCCUAAGAACCUGACUUCUGGCUUAAAGAGGAAACAUUUACUGGGCUUCAGUUUCAGGCCGUGUUGACGUAACCUUGAGAACACAAGCUCCAGUCUUUCACAAUGAGACUUGAA